rnacentral:tRNA from 1 species
CGGGCGCUCCAGCGGGGUGUGCCCGGACCCUCGUGCGGCCCGGGCACACCCGACCGUUCCACCUGCCCGACGCCCGGC